rnacentral:rRNA from 1 species
UGCCAGCCGCCGCGGUAAUACGGAGGAUCCAAGCGUUAUCCGGAAUCAUUGGGUUUAAAGGGUCCGUAGGUGGAUAAUUAAGUCAGGGGUGAAAGUUUGCAGCUCAACUGUAAAAUUGCCUUUGAUACUGGUUAUCUUGAAUCAUUAUGAAGUGGUUAGAAUAUGUAGUGUAGCGGUGAAAUGCAUAGAUAUUACAUAGAAUACCGAUUGCGAAGGCAGGUCACUAACAACGUAUUGACGCUGAGGGACGAAAGCGUGGGGAGCGAACAGGAUUAGAUA